ACUGUUCUCCAUGCCAUCCAGUCAUGAUCCAGUGAUCAGAAUGCUCCAUUGUCUUUUCAUUGUUUUGAAAAUCUCACUGUUCUUCAUGCCAUCCAGUCAUGAUCCAGCGAUCAGAAUGUUCCACUGUCUUUUCAUUUUUUGAAAAUCUCACUGUUCUCCAUGUCAUCCAGUCAUGAUCCAGUGGUCAGAAUGUUCCAUUCUCUUUUCAUUGUUUUGAAAAUCCCACUGUUCUCCAUGCCAUCCAGUCAUGAUCCAGUGAUCAGAAUGCUCCAUUGUCUUUUCAUUGUUUUGAAAAUCUCACUGUUCUUCAUGCCAUCCAGUCAUGAUCCAGCGAUCAGAAUGUUCCACUGUCUUUUCAUUUUUUGAAAAUCUCACUGUUCUCCAUGUCAUCCAGUCAUGAUCCAGUGGUCAGAAUGUUCCAUUCUCUUUUCAUUGUUUUGAAAAUCCCACUGUUCUCCAUGCCAUCCAGUCAUGAUCCAGUGAUCAGAAUGCUCCAUUGUCUUUUCAUUGUUUUGAAAAUCUCACUGUUCUUCAUGCCAUCCAGUCAUGAUCCAGCGAUCAGAAUGUUCCACUGUCUUUUCAUUUUUUGAAAAUCUCACUGUUCUCCAUGUCAUCCAGUCAUGAUCCAGUGGUCAGAAUGUUCCAUUCUCUUUUCAUUGUUUUGAAAAUCCCACUGUUCUCCAUGCCAUCCAGUCAUGAUCCAGUGGUCAGAAUGUUCCAUUGUCUUUUCAUUGUUUUGAAAAUCUCACUGUUCUCCAUGUCAUCCAGUCAUGAUCCAGUGAUCAGAAU